AGUGAACGCUGGCGGUAGGCCUAACACAUGCAAGUCGAACGGCAGCACAGUAAGAGCUUGCUCUUACGGGUGGCGAGUGGCGGACGGGUGAGGAAUACAUCGGAAUCUACUUUUUCGUGGGGGAUAACGUAGGAAAACUUACGCUAAUACCGCAUACGACCUACGGGUGAAAGCAGGGGAUCUUCGGACCUUGCGCGAUUGAAUGAGCCGAUGUCGGAUUAGCUAGUUGGCGGGGUAAAGGCCCACCGAGGCGACGAUCCGUAGCUGGUCUGAGAGGAUGAUCAGCCACACUGGAACUGAGACACGGUCCAGACUCCUACGGGAGGCAGCAGUGGGGAAUAUUGGACAAUGGGCGCAAGCCUGAUCCAGCCAUACCGCGUGGGUGAAGAAGGUCUUCGGGUUGUAAAGCCCUUUUGUUGGGAAAGAAAAGCAGCAGGUUAAUACCCCGCUGUUCUGACGGUACCCAAAGAAUAAGCACCGGCUAACUUCGUG
rnacentral:rRNA from 1 species